GUGGUGAACCUUCACCUCUCACUUCCUGUAAGGCCUAGUCUGAAAGGGAAAGCAUGGCAUGGUGGAGACACUCUGUAUUCUGGAUGGAUUCUCCUGGAUUAAAGAUGGGCCGCUGUCAAAGCACCUGACCAAGACUGACAACUGGUGAAUGGAAAACCGGAAUAAGCACUUGGAAGAAGAAAACCGACAACCGAGACAACUUGCCUUUGAUUUGCCUGGCGUAAUGGAUACUUUGAAAACCACAA